rnacentral:rRNA from 1 species
ACCGGGGUUGCGGACAGUGUCUGGUGGGUAGUUUGACUGGGGCGGUCUCCUCCCAAAGCGUAACGGAGGAGCACGAAGGUUAGCUAAUCCUGGUCGGACAUCAGGAGGUUAGUGCAAUGGCAUAAGCUAGCUUGACUGCGAGCGUGACGGCGCGAGCAGGUGCGAAAGCAGGUCAUAGUGAUCCGGUGGUUCUGAAUGGAAGGGCCAUCGCUCAACGGAUAAAAGGUACUCCGGGGAUAACAGGCUGAUACCGCCCAAGAGUUCAUAUCGACGGCGGUGUUUGGCACCUCGAUGUCGGCUCAUCACAUCCUGGGGCUGAAGUAGGUCCCAAGGGUAUGGCUGUUCGC